rnacentral:rRNA from 1 species
CAGCCGCCACGGUAAUACGUAGGUGGCAAGCGUUGUCCGGAAUUAUUGGGCGUAAAGGGCUCGCAGGCGGUUUCCUAAGUCUGAUGUGAAAGCCCCCGGCUCAACCGGGGAGGGUCAUUGGAAACUGGGAAACUUGAGUGCAGAAGAGGAGAGUGGAAUUCCACGUGUAGCGGUGAAAUGCGUAGAGAUGUGGAGGAACACCAGUGGCGAAGGCGACUCUCUGGUCUGUAACUGACGCUGAGGAGCGAAAGCGUGGGGAGCGAACAGGAUUAGAUACCCCAGUAGUCCCUGUCUCUUAUAC